ACACUUAAAUGACUGAGCCACCCACGUACCCUGAACCUGGAUUCAUCUUAACCUGAAUAUAAAUGCGAGGUUUCUCCUCUGCCAACCCCCCCCGGACCAACACUGACUGCUGAAGGAAGGUUGUGAGUCUGCAGCCCGUCUUGUUCGUUCUUCUCCAGAGUCCCAUCAUGAGCUCGCCAGUGCAGCCUGAUGGGGUGGCUGGACGAGAGCAGCUCUUGGCUCAGCAGAGAAUGCACAGUAUGAUCAGCUCAGUGGAUGUGAAGUCAGAAGUUCCCGUGGGCCUGGAGCCCAUCUCACCUUUAGACCUGAGGACCGACCUCAGGAUGAUGAUGCCUGUGGUGGAUCCUGUUGUCCGUGAGAAGCAACUGCAGCAAGAGUUACUCCUUAUCCAGCAACAGCAGCAAAUCCAGAAGCAGCUCCUGAUCGCCGAGUUUCAGAAACAACAUGAGAACUUGACACGGCAGCACCAGGCUCAGCUCCAGGAACACAUCAAGUUGCAACAGGAACUUCUAGCCAUAAAACAGCAGCAAGAACUCCUAGAAAAGGAGCAGAAACUGGAGCAGCAGAGGCAAGAACAGGAAGUAGAGAGGCACCGCAGAGAACAGCAGCUUCCUCCUCUCAGAGGCAAAGAUAGAGGACGAGAAAGGGCAGUGGCAAGUACAGAAGUAAAGCAGAAGCUUCAAGAAUUCCUAUUGAGUAAAUCAGCAACAAAAGACACUCCAACAAAUGGAAAAAAUCAUUCCGUGAGCCGCCAUCCCAAGCUCUGGUACACGGCUGCCCACCACACGUCACUGGAUCAAAGCUCUCCACCCCUGAGUGGAACAUCUCCAUCCUACAAAUACACAUUACCAGGAGCACAGGACACGAAGGAUGAUUUCCCCCUUCGAAAAACUGCCUCUGAGCCCAACUUGAAGGUGCGGUCCAGGUUAAAACAGAAAGUGGCAGAGAGGAGAAGCAGCCCCUUACUCAGGCGGAAGGAUGGAAAUGUUGUCACUUCAUUCAAGAAGCGAAUGUUUGAGGUGACAGAAUCUUCUGUCAGUAGCAGCUCUCCAGGGUCUGGUCCCAGCUCACCAAACAAUGGGCCAGCUGGAAACGUUCCUGAAAACGACACCUCGGUUUUGCCACCUACUCCUCAUGCUGAGCAAAUGGUGUCCCAGCAACGCAUUCUGAUUCAUGAAGAUUCCAUGAACCUGCUAAGUCUUUAUACCUCUCCCUCUUUGCCCAACAUUACCUUGGGACUUCCGGCAGUGCCAACGCAGCUCAACGCUUCGAAUUCACUCAAAGAAAAACAGAAGUGUGAGACCCAGACGCUCCGACAAGGCGUCCCUCUGCCUGGACAGUACGCUGGCAGCAUCCCAGCGACUUCAAGCCAUGCCCACGUUGCUUUAGAGGGAAAGCCCAAUAGCAGCCACCAAGCACUCCUGCAGCAUCUCUUAUUGAAAGAACAAAUGCGACAGCAGAAGCUUCUCGUGGCUGGUGGAGUUCCCUUACAUCCUCAGUCUCCGUUGGCAGCAAAGGAGAGAAUUUCCCCUGGCAUUAGAGGUACCCACAAAUUACCCCGUCACAGGCCCCUGAAUCGAACCCAGUCUGCACCUCUGCCUCAGAGCACGUUGGCUCAGCUGGUCAUUCAGCAGCAACACCAGCAGUUCUUGGAGAAGCAGAAGCAAUACCAGCAGCAGAUCCACAUGAACAAACUGCUUUCGAAAUCUAUUGAACAACUGAAGCAACCAGGCAGUCACCUCGAGGAAGCGGAGGAAGAGCUUCAGGGGGACCAGGCGAUGCAGGAAGACAGAGCGCCCUCUAGUGGCAACAGCACUAGGAGCGACAGCAGUGCUUGUGUGGAUGACACACUGGGACAAGUUGGGGCGGUGAAGGUCAAGGAGGAACCAGUGGACAGUGAUGAAGAUGCUCAGAUCCAGGAAAUGGAAUCUGGGGAGCAGGCUGCUUUUAUGCAACAGCCCUUCCAGGAGCCCCAGCACACACGUGCGCUCUCAGUGCACCAAGCUCAGCUGGCUGUGGUUGGCAUGGAUGGAUUAGAGAAACAUCGUCUUUUCUCCAGGACACAUUCCUCCCCUGCUGCCUCCAUUUUACCUCAUCCAGCAAUGGACGGCCCCCUCCAGCCUGGCUCUGCAACUGGAAUUGCCUACGACCCUCUGAUGCUGAAACACCAGUGCAUUUGUGGCAAUUCCACCACCCACCCUGAGCAUGCUGGACGAAUCCAGAGCAUCUGGUCACGACUGCAAGAAACUGGGCUGCUAAAUAAAUGUGAGCGAAUUCAAGGUCGAAAAGCCAGCCUGGAGGAAAUACAGCUUGUUCAUUCUGAACAUCACUCACUGUUGUAUGGCACCAACCCCCUGGAUGGACAGAAGCUGGACCCCAGGACACUCCUAGGUGAUGCCUCUCAAAAGUUUUUUUCCUCAUUACCUUGUGGUGGACUUGGGGUGGACAGUGACACCAUUUGGAAUGAGCUGCACUCGUCCGGUGCUGCACGCAUGGCUGUUGGCUGUGUCAUCGAGCUGGCUUCCAAAGUGGCCUCAGGAGAGCUGAAGAAUGGGUUUGCUGUUGUAAGGCCCCCAGGCCAUCAUGCUGAAGAAUCCACAGCCAUGGGGUUCUGCUUUUUUAAUUCAGUUGCAAUUACCGCCAAAUACUUGAGAGACCAACUAAAUAUAAGCAAGAUAUUGAUUGUAGAUCUGGAUGUUCACCAUGGAAAUGGUACACAGCAGGCCUUUUAUGCUGACCCCAGCAUCCUGUAUAUUUCACUCCAUCGCUAUGAUGAAGGGAACUUUUUCCCUGGCAGCGGAGCCCCAAAUGAGGUUGGAACAGGGCUUGGGGAAGGAUACAAUAUAAAUAUUGCCUGGACAGGUGGCCUUGAUCCCCCCAUGGGAGAUGUAGAGUACCUUGAAGCAUUCAGGACUGUAGUGACGCCUGUGGCCAAAGAGUUUGAUCCAGACAUGGUCCUAGUUUCCGCUGGAUUUGAUGCAUUAGAAGGCCAUGCCCCUCCUCUGGGGGGGUACAAAGUGACAGCAAAAUGCUUUGGUCAUUUGACGAAGCAGUUGAUGACAUUGGCUGAUGGACACGUGGUGUUGGCUCUAGAAGGAGGACAUGAUCUCACAGCCAUCUGUGAUGCCUCAGAAGCCUGUGUAAAUGCCCUUCUAGGAAAUGAGCUGGAGCCGCUUGCCGAGGAUAUUCUCCACCAAACCCCGAAUAUGAAUGCUGUUGUUUCUUUACAGAAGAUCAUUGAAAUUCAAAGCAAGUACUGGAAGUCAGUAAGGAUGGUGGCUAUGCCAAGGGGUUGUGCUUUGGCUGGGACUCAGUUGCAGGAGGAGACCGAGACUGUUUCUGCCCUGGCCUCCCUGACGGUAGAUGUAGAACAGCCCUUUGCUUCAGAAGAUAGCAGGUAUGGAUCCAACAUGGGGGAGUCAUUAAGGUUGCCUCCACCUCUUGGAUACUGCGAAUAAUGCUUCAAUGAAUAGGAGUGUGCAAUUAUCUCUUCAAGAUCCUGUUUUCAAUUCUUUUGGAUAUAUACCCAGAACUGGAAUUGCUGGAUCAUAUGAACUGCUGGUGAGCCUAUGGAAGAGGAGCCAGCCUUGUGAAGUGCCAAGCCCCCCACCCCCAUAUUUCCUGUGUGUGACAUCAUUGUGUAUCCCCCCACCCAGCACCCUCAGACAUGUCUUGUCUGCUGCCUGGGUGGCACAGAUUCGAUGUAACGUAAACACUGGGCACAAAAUUCCGAACAGCAGCUUCACUUGUUCUUUGGAUGGACUUGAAAGGGCAUUAAAGAUUCCUAAAACGUAACCGCUGUGAUUCUCAAGUUACGGUAAACCACUAUUGGAAGAAACUGCUUCCAGCAUGCUUUUAAUAUGCUGGGUGACCCACUGCCAGGCCCUAAGUAUAAACUAAUAACAUCCAGUAUGGCAUUAGAUACUAUUAAUUAUUAUGGAUGCUAUGACAGCCAGAGAAAUUCUGGGCAAAACCUGAAAAAUACUCAUUCCUGACAUUCUGAUCAGUUUCUUAAUGGAUAAUUUUUGUCUGUCUUAAACUGUUUACAGGAUUUGUUUUCAGCUAUGAACGGACAGCAGUUCCCAACAUAUUGCAGGGGUUGUUUUGUUUUGUUUGUUUUUUGGCCUUUGUUUUAAACACAUGGUUCAAUUCUUGCUAGUAAGAGUUCAAGAUGGAAGAACUGGGAUGAGGCUUUUUUCAAUAGAAUAAACCAGCCUGUAUCUCAAAGUCCAAAUGCCAAAGGACCCUCACAUACUGUAUGUAAUGGUGCAGUAUUUUAUGUCCAUUUUUUUAGAAGAAUAACCCUAUUUCCUUAACAUCCCUCUGUGUGUUCUCACACGUGGGGGAUUUGCAGUUGUAUUUGAGGAUGAGGUCUCCGGUUCCCCUCAUCCGUCCCUUGCUUUGAUGAUAAGUAGUAUCAAGCAUAUGUUCCACAGAGGAUGGUCUUAAUUUUUUUUUCCAAAUCUAUCAAGAACCUAGUUUGCACUUUCCAUCUUCUUUCCUCCAGCACAUGCUUUUUCUUACCUUUCAUCCUUCCUUCCUUACAGAAAAGCUAAAGAUUACCCACAAUCUCCCUGGCUAUUCAGGAGAUUUGAGUAUUUCAUUAUUUUUAACUUUUCAGGUUAACACAGUUGCUUGGUGUGAUGUGUUCUUUUAGCUGAGACACCAUCAAGAUGAAGCUGUAUCACUGAAUUUUCUAGAUCUUCAAAAUGUGUUAAUGAAGGCAUUGCCUAUUUGAAGUCACCUUGAAUUGUGUUAACCUCAAAGUUGUGCCUUCCUGU